rnacentral:tRNA from 1 species
UGGCUCAGUGGUAGAGCGCUUGUUUCACAUUCAAGAGGCCAUGGGUUCGAUUCCUCA